GAGGGCGUAGCUCAGUGGUAGAGCACAUGCUUAGCAUGCGCAAGGUCCUGGGUUCUAUCCCCAGCACCUCCA
rnacentral:tRNA from 1 species